GACAGAGGAUGCAAGCGUUAUCCGGAAUUAUUGGGCGUAAAGAGCUCGUAGGCGGUUUGUCGCGUCUGCCGUGAAAGUCCGGGGCUCAACUCCGGAUCUGCGGUGGGUACGGGCAGACUAGAGUGAUGUAGGGGAGAGUGGAAUUCCUGGUGUAGCGGUGGAAUGCGCAGAUAUCAGGAGGAACACCAAUGGCGAAGGCAGAUCUCUGGGCCGUAACUGACGCUGAGGAGCGAAAGCAUGGGGAGCGAACAGG
rnacentral:rRNA from 1 species